rnacentral:rRNA from 1 species
UACGUAGGGGGCUAGCGUUGUCCGGAAUCAUUGGGCGUAAAGAGCGUGUAGGCGGUCCGGUAAGUCCGCUGUGAAAGUCGGGGGCUCAACCCUCGAAUGCCGGUGGAUACUGUCGGGCUAGAGUGCGGAAGAGGCGAGUGGAAUUCCUGGUGUAGCGGUGAAAUGUGCAGAUAUCAGGAGGAACACCUAUUGCGAAGGCAGCUCGCUGGGACGUAACUGACGCUGAGACGCGAAAGCGUGGGGAGCAAACAGG